UGGGGGAUAUUGCACAAUGGGCGAAAGCCUGAUGCAGCGACGCCGCGUGGGGGAUGAAGGCCUUCGGGUUGUAAACUUCUUUUGCUCUGAACAAGGCGCACCAUGGGGUGUGUUGAGUGUAGGGGUUGAUUAGCGCCGGCUAACUACGUGCCAGCAGCCGCGGUAAUACGUAGGGCGCGAGCGUUGUCCGGAAUGAUUGGGCGUAAAGGGCUUGUAGGUGGCUGGUUGCGUCUGUAGUGAAAGCUCAUGGCUUAACUGUGGGUUUGCGGUGGGUACGGGCUGGCUUGAGUGCAGUAGGGGAGGCGGGAAUUCCUGGUGUAGCGGUGGAAUGCGCAGAUAUCAGGAGGAAUACCGGUGGCGAAGGCGGGUCUCUGGGCUGUUACUGACACUGAGGAGCGAAAGCAUGGGGAGCGAACAGG
rnacentral:rRNA from 1 species